GCGCAGCAGUCCGCUGAGCUCCUGAAACAACCCAGAUGCUGCUGACGCAAGGAAUGAACAAGCACCAAAAAGGCUUCCCUCUUCCCAGGCUUCUGGGUCCCAAGAGGAGAAAAGGAUGAACGAGGCAACAAGGAAUUAGCAGAGCUGUUUCAAGACUGCAAUCAAGAGAACAUCCAUGUCAUUCUGUAACACUUUUUCAGACGAUUUCCUCUAAAGUUUUCAUUAUUCAUAAAUAAUACCUGUUUUACAACUGUAUAACUUAAGUCAAGAUACUCUUAAUUUUUCUCUUAAGUUAGUUAGUCUGCCAGUGAAAACGCCCUUUCCUGUACAACAAAAAUGAAAAAAUAAAGGGAAGUUAGGAAGUUUUGAGAAAAAUCAGUACAGAAUUUGCUGUAAUUACAUGAAACUUCCCACUGCAAAAAUAAAUAUUAUUUUCUUAAGGUAUCUGAAGAAAGACACCUAAUACUUACAUAAUGCCUACAAAUCAAGGAACUGUAAAAUACACAGAUGCUGUAUUAAUGCUCAAACUACCUUAAAGAACUUUGUGUGAAAUCUUGGUCCCAUCAAAGCUGAUGCCAAACUUCCCGCUAACAUCAACAGCGACAGAAUUUCAUCCAUUGUGCCAACUCAGAAAGCAGAAAAUGCUUUGAGAUAGAAAAUUAAAACAAUAAAUAAGAUUGCUUUAA